rnacentral:rRNA from 1 species
GGACCCGCACAAGCGGUGGAGCAUGUGGUUUAAUUCGAUGCAACGCGAAAACCUUACCUACUCUUGACAUACUUGGAAGCUCUUGUAAUGAGAGUGUGCCUUUUGGAACCAAGAUACAGGUGCUGCAUGGCUGUCGUCAGCUCGUGUCGUGAGAUGUUCCGUUAAGUCGGAUAACGAGCGCAACCCUUACCCUUAUUUGCCAGCGAUUCGGUCGGGAACUAUAAGGGGACUGCCGGUGAUAAACCGGAGGAAGGUGAGGACGACGUCAAGUCAUCAUGGCCCUUACGAGUAGGGCUACACACGUGCUACAAUGGGGAAUACAGACGGACGCUAAGCCGCGAGGUGGUGCUAAUCCUAGAAAGUUUCUCGUAGUCCGGAUUGGGGUCUGCAACUCGACCCCAUGAAGUCGGAAUCGCUAGUAAUCG